UCGACUUGGAGGUUGUGCCCUUGAGGCGUGGCUUCCGGAGCUAACGCGUUAAGUCGACCGCCUGGGGAGUACGGCCGCAAGGUUAAAACUCAAAUGAAUUGACGGGGGCCCGCACAAGCGGUGGAGCAUGUGGUUUAAUUCGAUGCAACGCGAAGAACCUUACCUGGUCUUGACAUCCACGGAAGUUUUCAGAGAUGAGAAUGUGCCUUCGGGAACCGUGAGACAGGUGCUGCAUGGCUGUCGUCAGCUCGUGUUGUGAAAUGUUGGGUUAAGUCCCGCAACGAGCGCAACCCUUAUCCUUUGUUGCCAGCGGUCCGGCCGGGAACUCAAAGGAGACUGCCAGUGAUAAACUGGAGGAAGGUGGGGAUGACCUCAAGUCAUCAUGGCCCUUACCACCAGGGC
rnacentral:rRNA from 1 species